GAUGAACGCUGGCGGCGUGCCUAAUACAUGCAAGUCGAGCGAACAGACGAGGAGCUUGCUCCUUUGACGUUAGCGGCGGACGGGUGAGUAACACGUGGGUAACCUACCUAUAAGACUGGGAUAACUUCGGGAAACCGGAGCUAAUACCGGAUAAUAUUUCGAACCGCAUGGUUCGAUAGUGAAAGAUGGCUUUGCUAUCACUUAUAGAUGGACCUGCGCCGUAUUAGCUAGUUGGUAAGGUAACGGCUUACCAAGGCAACGAUACGUAGCCGACCUGAGAGGGUGAUCGGCCACACUGGAACUGAGACACGGUCCAGACUCCUACGGGAGGCAGCAGUAGGGAAUCUUCCGCAAUGGGCGAAAGCCUGACGGAGCAACGCCGCGUGAGUGAUGAAGGUCUUCGGAUCGUAAAACUCUGUUAUUAGGGAAGAACAAACGUGUAAGUAACUGUGCACGUCUUGACGGUACCUAAUCAGAAAGCCACGGCUAACUACGUGCCAGCAGCCGCGGUAAUACGUAGGUGGCAAGCGUUAUCCGGAAUUAUUGGGCGUAAAGCGCGCGUAGGCGGUUUUUUAAGUCUGAUGUGAAAGCCCACGGCUCAACCGUGGAGGGUCAUUGGAAACUGGAAAACUUGAGUGCAGAAGAGGAAAGUGGAAUUCCAUGUGUAGCGGUGAAAUGCGCAGAGAUAUGGAGGAACACCAGUGGCGAAGGCGACUUUCUGGUCUGUAACUGACGCUGAUGUGCGAAAGCGUGGGGAUCAGACAGGAUUAGAUACCCUGGUAGUCCACGCCGUAAACGAUGAGUGCUAAGUGUUAGGGGGUUUCCGCCCCUUAGUGCUGCAGCUAACGCAUUAAGCACUCCGCCUGGGGAGUACGACCGCAAGGUUGAAACUCAAAGGAAUUGACGGGGACCCGCACAAGCGGUGGAGCAUGUGGUUUAAUUCGAAGCAACGCGAAGAACCUUACCAAAUCUUGACACCCUUUGACCCUUCUAGAGAUAGAAGUUUCCCCUUCGGGGGACAAAGUGACAGGUGGUGCAUGGUUGUCGUCAGCUCGUGUCGUGAGACGUUGGGUUAGGUCCCGCAACGAGCGCAACCCUUAAGCUUAGUUGCCAUCAUUAAGUUGGGCACUCUAAGUUAACUGCCGGUGACAAACCGGAGGAAGGUGGGGAUGACGUCAAAUCAUCAUGCCCCUUAUGAUUUGGGCUACACACGUGCUACAAUGGACAAUACAAAGGGCAGCGAAACCGCGAGGUCAAGCAAAUCCCAUAAAGUUGUUCUCAGUUCGGAUUGUAGUCUGCAACUCGACUACAUGAAGCUGGAAUCGCUAGUAAUCGUAGAUCAGCAUGCUACGGUGAAUACGUUCCCGGGUCU
rnacentral:rRNA from 1 species